ensembl:snRNA U6 U6 spliceosomal RNA
GUGUUCUCUUUGGCAGCACAUAUACUAAAAUUGAAAGAUACAGAGAAGAUUAGCAUGGCCCCUGCACAAGGAUGACAGGCAAACCCACGAAGCCGUCCAUAUUUUG